UGAGUCCCAACUUCUAUUUUCUUGUUGUUACACACGACAUUAUGUACCAACAGUCCCUACCCAUCCGUUCAUGUUCAACACAAAUCUCUAUGCUAAUUCAAAGUGGGACUUCUAUCCAAUUCCAUUUUGGUUGUGCAUAUAGAUUCCCUCUCAUCAUGAAUGGGCAAUCGGGCCAUCUUUUCGUUUCAUGUAAAUUUUAAUUUUUCUUGAGAAAGACAUCCGAUUUUGGAUUCUUGUAGGCAUGAAAACUAUGGAAUGAAGGUAGGGGAUUGGAGAUCAUGGAUCCGUCAAUAAGUGACUCGAAGGUGGCCCACGAAGUAGACAGAUGCAUCCAUGUGGGGCUCUUGUGUGUCCAAGAGGACCCAACUGAUCGGCCAACCAUGCCUUCUAUUGUUCUUAUGUUAGGUAAAAGUGCAAGACCACCAUCACCCAAGCAACCUGCAUUUUCGACCUGGAAGAGUCCAACGUCUGCUGAUCCAUCUAUGGAUAACUCGAUAAAUGAUGUGACAAUUAGCACGAUAGAACCCAAGACAUAGUUCCUCCUACUCACAAAGGGAGAUCCGAGUCUGUCUGUUUGUUGAUAGAAUGAGGUUAGGAUCUUUCAUAUGUAAAUGAGGUUUGGGCAAUGGUGCAUAUAGCUUUAGCAGCAUUUUCUGCUUUAGGACUGCUCUUUAUUAUAUGCUUACAAAGAAAUUUGCAUUGCCAUUGCUAGAAAGAAAACUACAGACCUACAGCUCCCACCCAUCCAUCAUGGUGGGCUGGUGUUUCCACUUGCAUUCAUAGUUAGAACUAUGGGCUAUAAGGAAUGGCCUAGUGGUGAUCUAUUGGAUAGGCUGUCAAGGGACCAGGCUUCAUAUUGCCAAAUCCCAAUAAAAAGUCCUCAAAGCUAGCCCAAGCUUGGUCCAUGUUCAUAAAAAUAUCCAAAGCAUUGUCCAUGACCAACUUAUAUGAUAGUUAAUGUGCCCAUGACCAGCACGGCCAACCCAUUACCACCUGCACAUACCAAGCAUGUGUGAAAAUAAAAUGGAGACAUUGCUUAAACUAAAAUAGGAAUUUUAAGUUAUUUUAGUCCUAAGUUUGAUGAAAAAAAUUGCAAUUCCAGUUCCAGUCAAUCAUGCAUCGAAUAGUCCAUAUAAAUCUCAUAUCACCCAUAGGCAUUAGUAUAGACAUGACCCAGUAAAAAGUCCUCAAAGCUAGCCCAUAGGGAUUGAUCUAUAUUUAGUGCUUUGUAUUUUAAAUUUCUGUGUCUUUGUUUAUAUGCAAUGUAUGUUUUUUUCCUUCUAAUUGUAAAAGCGCCUUUACAUGUUUUUAUUAAAUGUAAGUCUUUGCAUCUCAGGGAUCACAUCAAAUGGUUAUACAACCACCGCCUUCAGUUAUAUACCCUGCCUCCUACAAACUUAUGUAGAAGUGUAACCACCCAUGUAUGAAGUUCUAAUGUGUUUGUUUGACAUGAAAUGGAAAUGGUGUUUGAUGAUUAGGGUUUUUGUUAUGUGGGUUCAUGUUAUUGAAUACAUGCAGGUUGUGUGAAUCUUUUCUUUUCCUUCUCUUUCUUUUUCUCUCUUUUUCCCUAUUUCUUUUUAGUUUUAGGCAUCACACAAAGCUAGAUACUCCAACUGUUUAGAAGUAUACUGGAUAUUAGAUGCAUCAUAAACCUAUUGUUUUGAAAAUGCAGGCUAAAACUGACAGGGAAGCAGGAGGAAACAAGGAAUCAUCAGUGAAGUUUAAGUCCAGCUCGUCCUUUAGCCAUUGUCUACUUAUAGAGACCUAGAAGCGUUAACGUAAGAACAGAUACAAAGCAAUAAUUUAUUUAUUUGUAUGGGGUUUUGACAAAUAUCAUGAUGUGGAUUAGGACAUUGACCAUCAGAUUAGAAGUUUCAUUCUAUAAGGUUUUUAGAGCAUCUUUCAUCUAUGGCAGAGCUUAUCAAAUAAAAGUUUGUGUCUCACAACUACUAGCCCCACUUGUAAGUUGUAACAUCUUUCUCAACACUUCAACCCAACAUAGAAGGAACUUACUACUAUUUACUCCAUGAUUAGAUUUAAACCGAACCAAGGUCAAUCUAAGACCGACCUGGGUCUGUGACCAGCCAAAAUGGAUAGGCUCGAGCCUGGCCUUGUAAUCUAAUAAUUGGCCCAACCCUUGAUGGUGUUAGCUGAUCUUCUGAUUAGCUAAGAACCAUUUUUUUCAUCUAUCGUAAUGGAUUUUCCUAAGAAAUUCAGUACAUUGAGAAAUCUCUCUCUCUCUCUCUCUCUCUCUCUCUCUCUCUCUCUCUCUCUCUCUGACCUUUCAACGCCCAAAGGCCCUACCUCGAAAUUCAGUACAUUGAUAGGCAUACUUAAUCAUUGAUAGUUACAUGCUAUGUACAUACUAUUUUAUUAGCUGACCUCUAUGCAUGGUAGGGUGCUGCUGACAAAAGUCCUCUAUAUGGCAUGAGUUCUGGUUCUUGGGGUGCAUUUGAGAAGUCUCGCCUCAGGCGUCGCCAAAAUCAGUUGCUUUUUUUUUUCCUCCUGCUAUUCCUUGUGUCUCAAUCUGUAAAUUUUCUGUCCAUUAUGUAACCUUUCAUUCUCAGGCCCCCUAUAAAUGAGGCUGGUUGUAAACGAUUUACAGGUUGUGUUUGAAUGUUAAUUUAAGCCCGUAAAGGUCUUUUGAUUUAGAA